AACUUAUCGAGAGUGGUGGAGGGACUGGCCCUGUGAAACCCAGCAACCGAUAUAGUAAUUUUAUUACUAAAAUUCGGUGCUAAAUCCUGCAGCAUUAGCUGGUAGAUAAGAG
rnacentral:ncRNA from 2 species